GAUGAAGAACGCAUCGAAAUGCGAUAAGUAGUGUGAAUUGCAGAAUUCAGUGAAUCAUCGAAUCUUUGAACGCACAUUGCGCCCCAUGGUAUUCCGUGGGGCAUGCCUGUUCGAGCGUCAUUUACCCCCUCAAGCUCCGCUUGGUGUUGGGCGUCUGUCCCGCUUCGCGCGCGGACUCGCCCCAAAGGUAUUGGCAGCGGUCGUGCCAGCUUCUCGCGCAGCACAUUGCGCUUCUCGAGGCACCGGUGGGCCCGCGUCCAUCAAGCUCACCCCCCCAGUUUGACCUCGGAUCAGGUAGGGAUACCCGCUGAACUUAAGCAUAUCAAUAAGCGGAGGA
rnacentral:misc_RNA from 1 species